ACCUGCGUGGCUCAGGCAUUAGAGCGUGUGACUCCUAAUCUCAGGGUUGUGAGUUUGAGCCCCACUUUUGGUG
rnacentral:tRNA from 1 species